UUAUUAAAUACGGGUUCACCGUCUGCUAAAUCCACAAAGUAACAUAAUGAGUAAAAUAGAUUCGGGUUGAGAAAUACAGGGUUGGAGGAGAAGGGAGGAUGAGCGUGGGAUAGGACAGGUAUGCUUUUAAAACGCCCCCAUUAGGUCUGGCCAGUGUGUGAAAAUAAGUGCCUGUGCACUGGAUGGAAUGGAGAGGAAUGAUCAAAAAAAGGGGGAAAGACAACAAGGCCUUUGAGUCAGAGAAGAUGGACACACUCCGAGGCUCUCUAGCACAGACUGGUUUUAGCAGAAGGUAAAGCAUAUUUCUGUCGGUCCCACAUACUCCUUUGUUUGUUCACAUAAGCAUGAGCACCAAAGUGUUUCUUCUUGUAUUUAAAGCACAAAGUCUUGCAUUAUUGUGUUUAUUAUUUUAUAAUCAGCAACUAAGUUAACAUCUUGGUUGGAAUUUUGAUUAUGAGUUUCAGUCUGUUUGGAGGCUUGUAAUGGGCUGUUUAACUUUGCAAACUACUUGCACAGGUCAGAAUGGACCUAAAUGAGCCACACCUCGGAGCAUUGGGACAUGAACGGGCUCGUGAGUGAGUGUGUGUGUGUGUAUGUGUGAGUCUCUGACUUGGGCUACGUUUGCGGACAUAAUUCAGACCUUAAACCAGUUAAUUUGGGAUGGCUUGUGCACCUAAAUUGAUGGUCACGGUUAAGUAAAUGGAAGUAAGUAGUGGUGAUUUCCCCAAAAGUAAAAUGUGUGUUUUUACAGUUACCCCCUAUUAGGGAAUUUGACUUCACAAAAUACUUCCUAUUGAAACUCAAAUAUUUCCCCUUGAGAAUGUGUGUUUUUUUGUUAAUUGUCUAAAUGAAAAUAUUGUUUUGGAUUCCUCAACCGUUAAUGCUGUACUUUUGAGAUGACUUAUGGAAUUACACCAUUCUCAACCAUAAUGUUUUCAACUUUCUGCAGAUAGUUGCAUAGAUAUUUUAAAGUUGCAAUGUGCAAGAUUUGGCAGCAUUUGGCUGCGAGGUUGCAGAUGAAACGCAAGAACAAGUGUAUGGUUUUCCUCUCCUGAAUCUUUAAAAAACAAUAACCACCUCACUAUGGAAUUAUAAUUGCUCCAUUUUAAGGAAACAAAGAGCUCAACAAUUGUUAUUUUCAGAUGGUUAUACUUUGGAAUACAACAUGCUUAUAAAUAUUACAUAUUAUAUAUUCUAUUAUUAUUCUAUUUUUCCAAUAGAUGCUACACUCUGGUCCUUUAAUUAGGUUCGAUUCAAUUCAGUAUUAGUGUGUGAGGUGUGUUCAGGUUUACAGAUUAAAGAACAUUGCUGUGUUGUUGACAAAAAAAGAUGGACAAAUAACUGAAAUGAAGAAUAAUCAAAUGUGAAAUUACCUUUUCAGUGUUAGUAAUCCUUCAGACUUCAGGUUUUAUAUGUAUCCAUUUUAAAAGUGCCAUCAUUGCCAUCAGAGAUCAUGUUAUGGCAGACUUGUCUUUUAAGGUUGUAUUUCUUUGUUUCAGGGCUCAUAUUUCGUACACUACUGUUUUUCUGGAGAAAUUAAAGCAGCAAAUAAAUGAAAAGAUUUGAAUUAUUCUGAUUAAAGAAAGCUCUGUGGGAUAUAAUUUAUAUUAAUACUAAAUUUGUCCCAGGCUUGGUUGCCAUAGUGAUAGCGGCAUGUGUCCUGAACCUCAAUCGGGGUGCUGGUCAUCUCCUUGGUAACCGUUAUCUUCCUGGCCUGGUAUUGGAUGACGAAACACUAUGGCGACUGGGUGUGGAAGAAGCUCUCUCCUAUCAAAGACCGAAACUGGUUCUUGAUCAGAUGCGCGUAGUGUACGUGUCACUGCUGGUGUCCAUGUCUUUUGUUGGUUUGCUGCUCUUCAUCUUCCUAAUGCAGAUAUUCUCCAAAUAGUGGUGUGGUCAAACUUGCAGUGCAGGAUUGGGCUACAGUUUGUCUUUGGUCUGCCGAUCCUCAGGACCAUUUUUGGCUUCGUUGGAAUUGAAUGGCUCGGAAAAAAAGUAGAGACUUUUAUGUCAUUUGCAGAUGUUGGGUCUAAGUUAGUGUUUGGUCUCAGUUACAACGACCACUUCUUCAUCUUCAAGAUUGGUCUCGGAUGCAGGUUACCAUGGCAACAUCUCCAGCCGAAUCGAUGGCUGCUGCUGGAAAUGUAUUCUUGGAACAGACAGUGUCACCUCUCCUUAUUCGUCCAUGCAUCAGUGGACUAACUUGCUCUGAGAUCCCUGCUGUGAUGACAGCAGGUUUUGCCAGCGUCUCUGGUGUUUUGGGAGCCUUUAUCUUCUUUUUCUGUAAAUAUUUACUUUGAGAAGGAGUUAAUAAUCAGCUUUAUUUGAUUAUCUAAUAUACAAGCUUUGCCAAGGUAACACAACUGUGUUAAAUAAUGUAAUGAUUAAUCACCUUACUGUGAGACCCCCAAAUAAUAUUUAGAGGGAUGAUGUCUUACUCAACAGCAGCUCACCUACAGAUAUCCCCAGUUAUUCUCAGUAAUGUAUUGUAUUUAACGGGAAAGUCCAUAAAUAAAUACAACAUGUUUAGCAGUGAAUAAAACAUGAAUAUAUUUAAAAAGGUUGUCAGAGUAGAUUGAAAAGCAUGGCACUAACCAUGAGAAAUACUUAAUAACAAGUAUGUAUAACUUUAUAUACAUGUAUGACAAACACCAAAAUGAGCUGCUUUGAUCGUAGUUCCUCACAGUAAAGGGAUUGCAGGUUGUAGCUAAAAAUACUAAUGCUUACAUAUCUAUAUACGUGUAAAUAUAUAUAUACACGUAUAUAGAUAUGUAUUUAUAUAUAUAUAUAUAUAUAU